rnacentral:rRNA from 1 species
UACGUAGGUGGCGAGCGUUGUCCGGAUUUACUGGGCGUAAAGGGAGCGUAGGCGGACUUUUAAGUGAGAUGUGAAAUACCCGGGCUCAACUUGGGUGCUGCAUUUCAAACUGGAAGUCUAGAGUGCAGGAGAGGAGAAUGGAAUUCCUAGUGUAGCGGUGAAAUGCGUAGAGAUUAGGAAGAACGCCAGUGGCGAAGGCGAUUCUCUGGACUGUAACUGACGCUGAGGCUCGAAAGCGUGGGGAGCAAACAGGAUUAGAUACCCGGGUAGU